AAGUCGUAACAAGGUUUCCGUAGGUGAACCUGCGGAAGGAUCAUUAACACGUAUCCACGUAUCAACACAUCUGUGAACUCAAUCUCCCUGACAUAGGAAUAGCUGUAAUGCAUAGUUAGUGGUGGGUGUAUGAUUGUCAUGAUCGUACACAACCGUGCAUUGCUACGAGUCUUGAACUCGAGAGCUAUCUUAUGUCAGGCCUUUUUUUUCCACCACUACCCACACACCCUUUUCACCAUAUAAACUAUCUUGACUGAUGUACGUAAUGUAAGAGAAAUCUGGCAUUCGUCUUUAUCUAAACUAAGCACAACUCUUAGCAAUGGAUAUCUUGGUUCUC
rnacentral:misc_RNA from 1 species